rnacentral:misc_RNA from 1 species
AAGUCGUAACAAGGUUUCCGUAGGUGAACCUGCGGAAGGAUCAUUAACACGUUUCUAUCAUAAAACGUAACACCAAACGCGAACUAAGUUUUUCGAUCCUCGACUUUGCAUGUGAAUUGACAACUGAGGGAGAUAAUGAUGUGGGUGAUCGCUUGCGAUUACCAUCUCUCCGGUUACCAGUUGUGUUAAGUGCACUUGUGUGCUUAAUACAGACAAUUGUGAUGCAGAUGUCAGGACAUACCCUCUUGCUUGCAACUUACCUCACAUUGUGUGAGUUCAAGUGAGAAUACUAUUCACACAUUUCACCAUACUUUUUGCUAGUUGACUUUAUCUUGUUACUAUUCGCAAGGAUCGUAGCACGUUUAUUAAUUGAACGUAAAAUUGUACAACUCUUAGCAAUGGAUAUCUUGGUUCUC